UGGCUCAGAAUGAACGCUGGCGGCGUGCUUAACACAUGCAAGUCGUACGAGAAAGGGGACCUUCGGGUUCCCGAGUAAAGUGGCGCACGGGUGAGUAACGCGUAGGUAACCUGCCCUUGUGUUUGGGAUAACACCUCGAAAGGGGUGCUAAUACCGGAUAUGGGAGGAAGACGGGAGUUUUCAUCUCAAAGGGAGCCUCUGUAAAUACAAGCUUCCGCACGAGGAGGGGCCUGCGUCCUAUCAGCUAGUUGGUAGGGUAACGGCCUACCAAGGCAACGACGGGUAGCUGGUCUGAGAGGAUGAUCAGCCACACUGGCACUGGAACACGGGCCAGACUCCUACGGGAGGCAGCAGUGAGGAAUUUUGCGCAAUGGGAGCAAUCCUGACGCAGCAACGCCGCGUGGGUGAUGAAGGCCUUCGGGUCGUAAAGCCCUGUCGGGUGGGAAGAACAUCUCUGGGUUGAAUAGACUUGGAGAGUGACGGUACCACCAGAGGAAGCACCGGCUAACUCCGUGCCAGCAGCCGCGGUAA
rnacentral:rRNA from 1 species